GACGAACGCUGGCGGCGUGCUUAACACAUGCAAGUCGAACGGAAAGGCCCUUUCGGGGGUACUCGAGUGGCGAACGGGUGAGUAACACGUGGGUGAUCUGCCCUGCACUUUGGGAUAAGCCUGGGAAACUGGGUCUAAUACCGGAUAGGACUCUUGGCUGCAUGGUUGAGAGUGGAAAGCUUUUGCGGUGUGGGAUGGGCCCGCGGCCUAUCAGCUUGUUGGUGGGGUGAUGGCCUACCAAGGCGACGACGGGUAGCCGGCCUGAGAGGGUGUCCGGCCACACUGGGACUGAGAUACGGCCCAGACUCCUACGGGAGGCAGCAGUGGGGAAUAUUGCACAAUGGGCGCAAGCCUGAUGCAGCGACGCCGCGUGAGGGAUGACGGCCUUCGGGUUGUAAACCUCUUUCACUAGGGACGAAGCGCAAGUGACGGUACCUAGAGAAGAAGCACCGGCCAACUACGUGCCAGCCGCCGCGGUAACAC
rnacentral:rRNA from 1 species